rnacentral:sRNA from 1 species
UGGAAAAGCCUUCAGACAGAGUUCAGCUCUCAUUCAACAUCAGAGAAUGCAUACUGGAGAAAGACCCUAUAAGUGUAACGAAUGUGACAAAACAUUCAGAUGUAACUCAUCGCUUAGUAAUCACCAGAGAAUUCAUACUGGAGAGAAACCAUAUCGAUGUUUAGAAUGUGGGAUGUCUUUUGGCCAAAGUGCAGCUCUUAUACAACAUCAGAGGAUUCACACAGGAGAAAAACCCUUUAAAUGUAAUACAUGUGGAAAAACUUUUAGACAAAGCUCAUCACUUAUUGCACAUCAAAGAAUUCAUACUGGAGAGAAACCCUAUGAAUGUAAUGCAUGUGGGAAACUCUUUAGCCAGAGGUCAUCCCUUACUAAUCAUUAUAAAAUUCACAUUGAAGAGGACUCCUUAAAAGCCGAUUUGCAUGUGUGAAAGCCUUAAACCAAAACUCAUCAGAGAAUACAUGCUUGAGAGUGAUUUAUUAAAUAUAAUGAAUAUGAGAAAACUCUUAGUUCUUAUCAGAUACUAAGUUUUAAGAAUAAACUUUAGCUGUGUAAUAACUAUGGGGAAAGCUUUUAUAGUUGUCACUCACUUUUUAAAAUACCUGAGACAGUUCACUGUUGCAGACAUUGAAAUUGGCCAUUUGUAAGAUAAAAGAAUACAAAUGGAGAGAUUUGCAUGGGAUGCAGAAAUAUGGAAGACUAACCAAGCAAACCAGGAGAGACCAGCAAUAGUGUCCCAGAGACCAUGAUGUCUGAGCCCAGUUUUGGAAGAAUAGUAGGCUGGGCAUGGUGGCUCACACCUGUAAUCCCAGCACUUUGGGAGGCCAAGACAAGAGGAUUGCUUGAGCCCAGGAGUUCGAGACCAGCCUGAGCAACAACAACAACAACAAAAUUAGCCAGGCAUAGUGGUGCACAUCUGUAGUCCCAGCUACUUGGGAGGCUGAGGUAAGAGAAUUGCUUGAGCUCAGGAGGUUGAGGCUGCAGUGAGCUGUGAUCCCACCACUGCACUCCAGCUUGGGGAGAGAGCAAGACUCUGCCUCCUCCACAUGCGCCCCCCACCCCUGCCCCUGCCAAAAAAUUGUUUGUGGAUCCCUGUUAUCAGAAUAAGGACAUUCCCUCAUAUUCCUAGUGUGAUGUGAGUUUUUAUCAUAAAAGGGAGUAGUAUUUUGUCAUGUCCAUUUUCUGCAUUGGUUGAAAUGAUCAUUUUGUUUUUCUCUUCAUUCUUUUAAUAGAUAAUUGUUUGAAUUUUGGUGUUAACCAGUGUUUCAUUCCUGAAGU